AGAGUUUGAUCCUGGCUCAGAACGAACGCUGGCGGCAGGCCUAACACAUGCAAGUCGAGCGCUCCAGCAAUGGAGAGCGGCAGACGGGUGAGUAACGCGUGGGAACCUACCCAGUGGUGCGGAAUAGCCCAGGGAAACUUGGGGUAAUACCGCAUACGCCCGAAAGGGGAAAGAUUUAUCGCCAUUGGAUGGGCCCGCGUCGGAUUAGCUAGUUGGUAGGGUAAUGGCCUACCAAGGCAACGAUCCGUAGCUGGUCUGAGAGGAUGAUCAGCCACACUGGGACUGAGACACGGCCCAGACUCCUACGGGAGGCAGCAGUGGGGAAUAUUGGACAAUGGGCGAAAGCCUGAUCCAGCCAUGCCGCGUGAGUGACGAAGGUCUUCGGAUUGUAAAGCUCUUUUGGCGGGGACGAUAAUGACGGUACCCGCAGAAUAAGCCCCGGCUAACUUCGUGCCAGCCGCCGCGGUAAUAC
rnacentral:rRNA from 1 species